GACGAACGCUGGCGGCGUGCUUAACACAUGCCAGUCGAACGGAAAGGCCCUGCUUGCAGGGUACUCGAGUGGCGAACGGGUGAGUAACACGUGGGUGAUCUGCCCUGCACUUCGGGAUAAGCUUGGGAAACUGGGUCUAAUACCGGAUAGGAGCCAUCUUUAGUGUGGUGGUUGGAAAGUUUUUUCGGUGUAGGAUGAGCUCGCGGCCUAUCAGCUUGUUGGUGGGGUAAUGGCCUACCAAGGCGGCGACGGGUAGCCGGCCUGAGAGGGUGUACGGCCACAUUGGGACUGAGAUACGGCCCAGACUCCUACGGGAGGCAGCAGUGGGGAAUAUUGCACAAUGGGCGCAAGCCUGAUGCAGCGACGCCGCGUGGGGGAUGAAGGCCUUCGGGUUGUAAACUCCUGUCGCUAGGGACGAAGCUUUUUUGUGACGGUACCUAGAUAAGAAGCACCGGCUAACUACGUG
rnacentral:rRNA from 1 species